CAUCUGGAAAGAUGAAUCAAAGAAGGUAAUAAUCCUGUAGUCGAAAAUGUUGUCUCUCUUGAGUGGAUCCUGAGUACGACGGAGCACGUGAAAUUCCGUCGGAAUCUGGGAGGACCAUCUCCUAAGGCUAAAUACUCUCUAGUGACCGAUAGUGAACCAGUACCGUGAGGGAAAGGUGAAAAGCACCCCGGAAGGGGAGUGAAAUAGAACCUGAAACCGUGUGCUUACAAGUAGUCAGAGCCCGUUAAUGGGUGAUGGCGUGCCUUUUGUAGAAUGAACCGGCGAGUUACGAUUUGAUGCAAGGUUAAGCAGUAAAUGUGGAGCCGUAGCGAAAGCGAGUCUGAAUAGGGCGUUUAGUAUUUGGUCGUAGACCCGAAACCAGGUGAUCUACCCUUGGUCAGGUUGAAGUUCAGGUAACACUGAAUGGAGGACCGAACCGACUUACGUUGAAAAGUGAGCGGAUGAACUGAGGGUAGCGGAGAAAUUCCAAUCGAACCUGGAGAUAGCUGGUUCUCUCCGAAAUAGCUUUAGGGCUAGCCUCAAGUGAUGAUUAUUGGAGGUAGAGCACUGUUUGGACGAGGGGCCCCUCUCGGGUUACCGAAUUCAGACAAACUCCGAAUGCCAAUUAAUUUAACUUGGGAGUCAGAACAUGGGUGAUAAGGUCCGUGUUCGAAAGGGAAACAGCCCAGACCACCAGCUAAGGUCCCAAAAUAUAUGUUAAGUGGAAAAGGAUGUGGCGUUGCCCAGACAACUAGGAUGUUGGCUUAGAAGCAGCCAUCAUUUAAAGAGUGCGUAAUAGCUCACUAGUCGAGUGACACUGCGCCGAAAAUGUACCGGGGCUAAACAUAUUACCGAAGCUGUGGAUUGUCCUUUGGACAAUGGUAGGAGAGCGUUCUAAGGGCGUUGAAGCAUGAUCGUAAGGACAUGUGGAGCGCUUAGAAGUGAGAAUGCCGGUGUGAGUAGCGAAAGACGGGUGAGAAUCCCGUCCACCGAUUGACUAAGGUUUCCAGAGGAAGGCUCGUCCGCUCUGGGUUAGUCGGGUCCUAAGCUGAGGCCGACAGGCGUAGGCGAUGGAUAACAGGUUGAUAUUCCUGUACCACCUAUAAUCGUUUUAAUCGAUGGGGGGACGCAGUAGGAUAGGCGAAGCGUGCGAUUGGAUUGCACGUCUAAGCAGUAAGGCUGAGUAUUAGGCAAAUCCGGUACUCGUUAAGGCUGAGCUGUGAUGGGGAGAAGACAUUGAGUCUUCGAGUCGUUGAUUUCACACUGCCGAGAAAAGCCUCUAGAUAGAAAAUAGGUGCCCGUACCGCAAACCGACACAGGUAGUCAAGAUGAGAAUUCUAAGGUGAGCGAGCGAACUCUCGUUAAGGAACUCGGCAAAAUGACCCCGUAACUUCGGGAGAAGGGGUGCUCUUUAGGGUUAACGCCCAGAAGAGCCGCAGUGAAUAGGCCCAAGCGACUGUUUAUCAAAAACACAGGUCUCUGCUAAACCGUAAGGUGAUGUAUAGGGGCUGACGCCUGCCCGGUGCUGGAAGGUUAAGAGGAGUGGUUAGCUUCUGCGAAGCUACGAAUCGAAGCCCCAGUAAACGGCGGCCGUAACUAUAACGGUCCUAAGGUAGCGAAAUUCCUUGUCGGGUAAGUUCCGACCCGCACGAAAGGCGUAACGAUUUGGGCACUGUCUCAACGAGAGACUCGGUGAAAUCAUAGUACCUGUGAAGAUGCAGGUUACCCGCGACAGGACGGAAAGACCCCGUGGAGCUUUACUGUAGCCUGAUAUUGAAAUUCGGCACAGCUUGUACAGGAU
rnacentral:rRNA from 1 species